rnacentral:rRNA from 1 species
GUUAUAUGGUCAAGUGAAGAAGCGCAUACGGUGGAUGCCUUGGCAGUCAGAGGCGAUGAAAGACGUGGUAGCCUGCGAAAAGCUUCGGGGAGUCGGCAAACAGACUGUGAUCCGGAGGUAUCUGAAUGGGGGAACCCAGCCAUCAUAAGAUGGUUAUCUUGUACUGAAUACAUAGGUGCAAGAGGCGAACCAGGGGAACUGAAACAUCUAAGUACCCUGAGGAAAAGAAAUCAACCGAGAUUCCCUUAGUAGUGGCGAGCGAACGGGGACCAGCCCUUAAGUUGUAUUGAGAUUAGCGGAACACUCUGGAAAGGGUGGCCAUAGUGGGUGAUAGCCCUGUACGCGAAAAUCCCUUUGCAAUGAAAUCGAGUAGGACGGGGCACGAGAAACCUUGUCUGAAUAUGGGGGGACCAUCCUCCAAGGCUAAAUACUACUGACUGACCGAUAGUGAACCAGUACCGUGAGGGAAAGGCGAAAAGAACCGCGGAGAGCGGAGUGAAAUAGAUCCUGAAACCGUAUGCGUACAAGCAGUGGGAGCCCACUUUGUUGGGUGACUGCGUACCUUUUGUAUAAUGGGUCAGCGACUUAUUUUCAGUGGCGAGCUUAACCGAAUAGGGGAGGCGUAGCGAAAGCGAGUCUUAAUAGGGCGUCUAGUCGCUGGGAAUAGACCCGAAACCGGGCGAUCUAUCCAUGGGCAGGUUGAAGGUUGGGUAACACUAACUGGAGGACCGAACCGACUACCGUUGAAAAGUUAGCGGAUGACCUGUGGAUCGGAGUGAAAGGCUAAUCAAGCUCGGAGAUAGCUGGUUCUCCUCGAAAGCUAUUUAGGUAGCGCCUCAUGUAUCACUGUAGGGGGUAGAGCACUGUUUCGGCUAGGGGGUCAUCCCGACUUACCAAACCGAUGCAAACUCCGAAUACCUACAAGUGCCGAGCAUGGGAGACACACGGCGGGUGCUAACGUCCGUCGUGAAAAGGGAAACAACCCAGACCGCCAGCUAAGGUCCCAAAGUCAUGGUUAAGUGGGAAACGAUGUGGGAAGGCUUAGACAGCUAGGAGGUUGGCUUAGAAGCAGCCACCCUUUAAAGAAAGCGUAAUAGCUCACUAGUCGAGUCGGCCUGCGCGGAAGAUGUAACGGGGCUCAAACCAUGCACCGAAGCUACGGGUAUCAUCUUUUGAUGAUGCGGUAGAGGAGCGUUCUGUAAGCCUGUGAAGGUGAGUUGAGAAGCUUGCUGGAGGUAUCAGAAGUGCGAAUGCUGACAUGAGUAACGACAAUGGGUGUGAAAAACACCCACGCCGAAAGACCAAGGUUUCCUGCGCAACGUUAAUCGACGCAGGGUUAGUCGGUCCCUAAGGCGAGGCUGAAAAGCGUAGUCGAUGGAAAACAGGUUAAUAUUCCUGUACUUCUGGUUAUUGCGAUGGAGGGACGGAGAAGGCUAGGCCAGCCUGGCGUUGGUUGUCCAGGUUUAAGGUGGUAGGCUGAGAUCUUAGGUAAAUCCGGGAUCUUAAGGCCGAGAGCUGAUGACGAGUGUUCUUU